GAGUCAACGUAUGAAUAAUACGUGGCGAACGGCUCAGUAACACGUAGUCAACAUGCCCAAAGGACGUGGAUAACCUCGGGAAACUGAGGAUAAACCGCGAUAGGCCAUAAGUACUGGAAUGUUUUAUGGCUCAAAUCUACAUGGCCUCUGGAUUGGACUGCGGCCGAUCAGGCUGUUGGUGAGGUAAUGGCCCACCAAACCUUUUACCGGUACGGGCUCUGAGAGGAGGAGCCCGGAGAUGGGCACUGAGACAAGGGCCCAGGCCCUAUGGGGCGCAGCAGGCGCGAAACCUCUGCAAUAGGCGAAAGCUUGACAGGGUUACUCUGAGUGAUUCCCGCUAAGGGAAUCUUUUGGCAUCUCUAAAAACGAUGCAGAAUAAGGGGUGGGCAAGUCUGGUGUCAGCCGCCGCGGUAAUACCAGCACCCCGAGUGGUCGGGACGAUUAUUGGGCCUAAAGCAUCCGUAGCCGGUCUUGCAAGUCUUCCGUUAAAUCCACCUGCUUAACAGAUGGGCUGCGGAAGAUACUACAAGACUAGGAGGCGGGAGAGGCAAGCGGUACUCAGUGGGUAGGGGUAAAAUCCUCUGAUCCAUUGAAGACCACCAGUGGCGAAGGCGGCUUGCCAGAACGCGCUCGACGGUGAGGGAUGAAAGCUGGGGGAGCAAACCGGAUUAGAUACCCGGGUAGUCCCAGCUGUAAACGAUGCAGACUCGGUGAUGGGCCGGCUUCAUGCCGGCUCAGUGCCGCAGGGAAGCCGUUAAGUCUGCCGCCUGGGGAGUACGGUCGCAAGACUGAA
rnacentral:rRNA from 1 species